CUCUCCUUACUUCCGUUUUCCAUAGUAGCUUCCCCUGCCCGGUAACUAUGGCGGAUUUGUAGGCGUUACAGGAUGGUUGUAAACGGGGCUUCUUCUUUUUUUUUUUUUAAUUACGCUUCAGUUCUCAUAGCGUAUUGAAUCUUCUCCAUAGAUUAGAUUGCUCCAGCUGCCAGUCCUAGUUACCGGAGUGGUCAAGUGUCACUCUGCUUUUUCACAUUCCUUGGCCAGCUACAUUGUGGAAUCUGCUUGUCAGUACCACUUAUCCAACAGGGAGUUUUCCUUUAGGAAACUGGUUAGUUGCAGACACCAACUUGAAUGAUGACCUUGUAAUGAUGAUGCCUUCUUGUUUCUGGUGUUUUCAGUUCUAAUUUGCAAAGUCAGUGUGCAGACUUUUUUGAGUGAGGUACAGGGUCAGCUAAUUUUUCUUUACUUGGUAAUCUUUAUCUUGAUGUCUUGUUUGGAGCUGCCUAAAAAAUCUUCCACUAAUUUCCAAGAUGUGUUGUACCUGAACGGCACCCCAGUGUCCAGCCUGUGAUUGUGUUACUUUUAUCAUCUGAAAAACUGCAGCCAUGCUGCUAACCAUCACUCUGCACUGCAUGUGGCUAACCAUGUCGGCUGCUGUCUCUGGAUGUGGGGACAUGUAUUGGUUAUUGCUGUAGGGUGGGGACAACACCAUUUGCCUGCCUCAAGUUUCAUGACUUGGGUGCUGAAAAACUGGAGCAGAGUACAGGGACAGGAACACUGGCGCAGACAUCUGAUGAAGUCAACAGAGCGUGUAGUGAGAUAAAAGAAGAGUCACAGCGCACAAAAUUAGAGAUCCACCACGCAGACUUCAGCCUCUUUGACAAUAUCAUGAACUCAAUGGAGGAACUCAAGGCGCUACCAGGGGAGUUGAAGGAAUCAUUGAUCCUGCAUGUUGAACGGCGCAGUCUGAUGGUGGCGGGGGUUGUGGUUGCUAUAGGAGCGGCCAUAAUGUUACUAGGAUGCCUGUGGAUACACUGGUGCCACACAGAGCAUGGGGAAUAUGUCCCACUUACCCCUGCAAAAGAGGAGCAUGAAAAAAAAAACAGCAGCAGCACCACCACCAGAAGCUCCGAGACCAUUCUCACAAGGCAGGCACACACUUGGAUAAUGGUGUGAAGAAAUUAACACAUCGCAGAGUGCAUGUGGUCACUAAAAGCCACUGACUGUGUCUUCAUCUCCUUUCCUACUGUUGGGGGAAAAGUCAAGGAACUCUUACCUGUUGGCUUUUGUAUUAUAAAAAUCUUUAUAAAACCACAGUAGUUUGUCUCUACUCCUUGCUAAAGACCAGUCCACCGGGAGAACUGACCUGGAAAGGAAUUGUAUCCAUGGGAUCUUAACUAUGCAAUACAUUGUCCAUUUUUGUCCUUAGUUGUGUGAAUAGCUAGUUUUUUGGCAGAUUGUAGCGUUUGGGGGGUGGGAGAGGAGCGUUUGUUUUGUUGUUUUUUUUUUUUUUGCUCUCAUAUUUGUAGCUGAAAACCAUCUCUCAGAAAAUGUAUUUGAUUACAAAAUUCGCUCAGGUGUGGUCCAAGUUUGGCCUCUCUAAAGCUGCUUUUGCUGGGCUGUAACAUGGAGCCAGAAACAAAUAAUCAAACCUUUAGGUUAUAUGCCCUUGUAUGACUAAAGGAACACACUUUUUUCUAGCUCACAGCUACCUUAAAAGUUAAUUUUAUCUUUGUCCCAUAGCUGUUUUACUAUUGAGUCUGUGGCUGUGUAGCUAGUGUGCUAGUAGCCACAAAUUUAUAUCGGUGCUGGUCAGCAGACCAUGACAUGAGUACUCGAGUAUUGUCUGAUACCUCCUUGCCUGAUCCAGUCCUUUAAUAUGUUUCCAGAUAGUUAUUUAAAGGACUGGGUUUCCCAUUCAUGUGAUCUCAUGAUUUUCUUGUUAUUCCCCAUUACAUUCCAUACAAUUUUACACCUGGCCCUACCACUCCCACCUCUAACCUCAACCUUGUGCUGUUAUUCUCUUCUCUUGUUUGUCUUGAUGACCUCAGCUGAGUGUUCAUAAUUUAUGUGGAUCUGUACUAAGUCUGUUUGGUUAGCACACUUUCUUAAUUUUUGGCAUAUGCUGUGUCCACUCUUUCAUCAGCAUGUAUGUAGCAUAUGUAGUGUCCACUCUUUGGGCAUGGACAUAACCCAUCCAUGUCUGUUUUUGUUGCUUGAUAGUGGCAAGCUGUGUUUCCUGGGCACCCACCUUACUGGCAACUGCUUUAUGUACAAAAUUGUUCAUUUUGUGGUCUUUGUAAAGCACUCUCAUUAAGCAUACGGUUUCAAAUGCUUUGGUGAGCAAUGUCUGUUUCACAAGUGUUAUGGAGCUGCUGAAGGACUUGUACAGCUUGCAUUGGACACUAAAACAACUAGGAUUGAGGUGAACAUCCUCCACACAGCCUUCAUCUCUGAAGUUGUAGCACUCAGGUACUUGAAGCUUUGCACCUUUUUGAGCUCAACUCCACGAAGAUCUCCACCUUGCCAUGCCCAGUGGCAUUAACAAUGACAUCUCUUGUCCACCCCAUAUGCAUUCGUGCUGCUUGCAACCUUGUUUGUGAGGCUCUGUAACUUGCUGUUGUUUCCUGUUAUCGGGUCGUUGUCAACUGUAAAGCAUGUGCUACGUUGUGGCCUCCUGCCAAUGGACACUGAGGUCUGAUGGUCAGGAGUGUAUCGUGCAUGAUAUUCUCCUGAUGUCUGCCAUCAUGGAUAAUAACUCUCCCAUCAUGAUUGUUGAGGAAUACUGAGCUCAUCAUAAAAACAUAUUUGUCUCAUAGAUGUUAAAAAGCACCAGACAAAUGGCAGCCUUGGCAGAUAUCUACCAUUAAGGGGGAGAACUCUCCCAUCAUGACUGUUGAGUAUUGAGCUCAUCACAUGACACAAUAUUCUCAUCUUUCUUCUUGAAACCUGGUGUUGAAAGCUGUUGAAUUCUUGUAAUACUUCUGUCAAAGAUCUUUUACAUGUGACUCAUUCUUGUCAUCAACUUUAUCUUUCACUCAGCUGCUUAUACAGCACAGGAACUUCCAUGAUGAUUAAACAUGCGAACCAGUUCCUUGCCACAUUUUCAAUGCAGAGCUUGUGUUAAUGAUCUGCAAGAAUUACUGGUUGGAUGUAAAGGUCUUUUUUUUUUUUUUUUUUUUUUUCUUUGAAGGCAGUAGUCAUUUACUGGUUGUCACAGGGACGUACCAGCAGUUGGCAGUCUUCAGCCUUGUUUCUUGUCCAGGCCCUUCUUUCACCAUGCAUUCUCUUUAACCUGCACUGGUAUGCAUGAGAGACUGAUGGGGUGCAUCGGUCCAGUGAGUGAUUUUUCUUCUACAUCUUAUUUUAUUGUGACUUUUUAUAUGUGAUAUGCUAACAUUAGUCUAUUUUCAUUUGACCUUUUAAAUAAGUGCAGUUAACAUAAAAACAUUUUGCAUUACAUUGUUUGUUAAUAUUGUGAGAACUCUCUCGCAGGUUGUGAUCAAUUAUGAAAAUAUUAGUGAUGAUCAUAUACAUUAUUCUCUAAAAAAAACCUUAAUGGAUGGAUAUAACUUGCAGGUAUGUUUGUGUGUGUGGGAAAUUCAUGACAAGGAUACCAGUGUUACAAUGAAGAUAAAAAGUGUUUUUGCCUUAGGUUGCAUAUAACCCUGGAGAAUAGAGAUUAUGAGGCUAGUGUGAAAUAUAUGUAUGAAAAUGUUGUGUGUAGGUGGAUAGAGAUUAUGAGGCUAGAGAGAAGUACGUUUUAAAAUGUCAUUUGUGGGUGGGAUGGUGGUGCCUGUAUAUUUAUUUCACUCAUUUGUUUAGAAUGAAACCUGAAAUGCUGGUAUAUGUUUACGAUUACCUCAAGGUAUUGAAGACAAAGUUUAAGCCAAAUGUAUCUCAACUGGUUGAGUGAGGAAUAAAUUUUCAACAAGACAAAGUCAUUUUAAAACGUGAAAUAUAUGUACAACAAUAAAACUGUCGUUAAAGUUUUUUUUUUAAAAAAGGCAAUAAAACUGGCAUCUUUUUACGUUGCUUUAAAUGGGUAUGUACAACAAUAAAGCUGUCCUAAAAUUUUUUUUAAAAAAAACAAGGCAAUAAAUUUUGCUUAUUUUCACAUUGUUUGAACUUUUUACAGUUCUAUGUUUCUUCCUGGAACACCAAGUAAGCAUGGUUUUUUUAGACUAUAAGUAAUCGAUGGAACUGUAAAGAGUUUUAAAAAAGUUACAUCAUAUCAUAUCACCAUGAUUUAUUUUCUUUAUAUCGCACGAUUAUAAGGGCCUCUAAGACCAAUUCUGAGCAACGAUCCAUGCAUUAUUCAUUGUCAGCACAUCAUAAAAGCAACUGAUCCAUCAAAAUGUGCUGGAGCAGGCACUUUAUCUUGAUGCUUCUUGCCAGUGGGCCACAAUAUUAACAUUGUGAUAUUCACUAUAUCAAACAAACCCAUGGGUAGCAAGUGACAUAAGCUGCUGAAAACUAAAUGGAACCUCUCUGUCAGAAAACUCAACUGAAUUCUCUCUCUCAAGGGCAGUGUGACGCACCUGUCAUCAAUACAGUAAAGGCUGUCCUGGGUUCAGCUCUUAUUUUGGGCACGGUGUUCUUUCUCAUCAGAAAAUUAAGGUGACUUCUACCUCUGUCAGAUGCCAAACUAUUUCAAGUGGGUGUCUGCUUUAUGUGGAUGGCCUGCUGCUCUUGACUUUGUUGCGUCCUGAUUUAAAAAGGGACUUACUCAAGAUAUGUUUUGCCUGCAGGUCUGUUUUUAUUAUCAUGAUGCAAAGGGCUUUAGUGUUUAUUUGGCAGUCACUUAGUUUGAUUUUGAAAGUGUAACAUGUGUAGCAGUCAUUAAUGAAUGUGGAUUGAGUUUACUCCUUAGCCAGUGUGAUGUCUCAGCUGAGAGGAUGUGUUUUACUGACCGUAGUUUUAGUAUUCCUGUUGCAGAAGGCCCUCACCUAUUUAACCACUGAUCAUAUUUUUACUUGUCCUUCGUACGUGUUCACUUUUUUUGAAACAAACUUUAUUGAAUAUUUAUUUCAUGCAAAACUUUCUAGGUUUUGAAUCUUUUACGGUGAAAAGCUAUAUGCCAGUACAAUUUAGAGAAGUGCUGUGAAAUAGCUCCUUUACGACAUUGCAAAUAAAAUCUACACCCACCUUUUUGAACAGAGCAAACAAACAAAAAAUGUAAAAGGCCUAGUUCUGUAGUGUUAUUUGCUUGGUUCAAUGAUAAGCAUCAUUUUGUUGGAUUUACUGAUGCUUAGUUACAAACAAAAAAAUGAUGAUGGAUUGUGUUGACAGAUGAUGCCAUGGAGCUGAAUGGCAAAAAAUGCUUCACAUCUGUAAUCUUAGCUACAUAAAGAAAAUGCUUUCACUUUGGUUACUACAUAAAAUUUGCAUUGUGAAUACAGAACAUUUAUCUUUAACAAGGAUGUAUCACCUUCAUUUCCCAUUGUUUACCUGCUUCUAGAAAAGAUUUUCGCCCAAUCCACUGUCAUUGUGUAGGAUUUAUGAAUGACAGUGUGUGUACACCAUUAUUGGUCUUGUGGUCAAUAAAAAUUAUGUCAGACUAUAAUGAUGCAUUAUGCACCUUGUUACCAUGCAUUCAGUACAGCACUGCAUUUAAAAAUCAUAAAUUUUGAUAUGGUGCUGCAAAAUAUUCCAGGUUUAUUUACAAAAUAACUAUCCAUGACAUUUUCCUUGUGUAACCUUCACUAUAUUUGCUUUAAUUAUGGAAGUUAAAAAGAGAGUGAAUUAUUUUCAUUUUUAAGGGAGAGAAAGGUUAAUUUAUGUCAUUUAGGUAUAUUAACAAAAGAACCAUGCUCUUAGACACCUAUUUCAGUCAUGCUGUUUAUGCUGUAAAUAGAUUCAUCUGAGGUGGACAUAACUUUUGGGUAAUUUGCUCUUAGCACUGUACUUGUAUACUCACUGAAUUCAAGAAAUGUUAGAAUUGUCACGGAUAUAAAUGAUUGAUGAUACAAAACAAUAUCAGUUGACUUGUAUCUCACAUUAAUGCAAAGAUCAAAAUAAAACUAACAAAUGCA
rnacentral:lncRNA from 1 species